AACUCCAUAGCUCCUACAUAUAUUCUCAUUAUUCUUUAAAACUUUUAAACCUUCCUGUUCUGCCAUGUAUUUUUGGAUAUUACAAACUAAAGCCCUUCCUGUUGUGUUUUUCCCCUCAUGAAUAUAUUGAUUUCUGGAGAACCAUAUCCACCACAACGCAAAACAGAAAAGACGACAAUGGCCAUUAUUACCCCUCUUGAAGACCCAGUUGCUAUAGGACAAUCGCGAAAUACAUGGAGGCUCCCUUCCACUUCAGAUCUGCAACGGGGACAACUGUCAUUUGUGACAAUUCUCCUGAAUCUGAGAUUAGCAAAGUUUGGAAUAAAAUCCCAAGAGAAACGCCAUAUUGUAAAUGCAAUCUUUGACGGCAACUGUAGAUUCCAUAGCUUCUUGUAAAAAUCUUUAGUUUCGGUCUGUAAUAAAUAGCUUCUAGGAUCUAGAUUAGCAUCUUGUAAAAGUUUAUAGGCACUGCGGACCGAAAACUCACCCGAUAAUUCUCCUUUCCAAACCUGGAAAUCCUCAUGCUCGGUCUCUGCGAGAGGAAUCUGAAGGAUUUUCUGAGCAAUGUUCUCUUGAAAGCAAUCUUUCCAUAUCGAGAUUCUAUCUCCUCUGCCCACUCUCCAACACAUCCCUUUUUGUAGAAGACCCCUGGCAGCCCAGAUACUUUUCCAGGUAAAAGAAGGGAAAUAGAAUCAGAGAUAGCGCUUCACAUCAACCAAUUGAAAAAGUGGAGGUAUCAUUGACACUCCGAAGAGAAUCAAACAAAAAUAAAAGAAAAAACCCCAGAAACGAACAAAAACCCUAAAACUC